rnacentral:rRNA from 1 species
UACAGCAAAAUAAGUGAAACCGCAAAAGGCUCAUUAUAUCAGUUAUGGUUCCUUAGAUCGUAUCCACAAUUACUUGGAUAACUGUGGUAAUUCUAGAGCUAAUACAUGCAUUUAAAGAGAGAACGGUUACUCGCAAUCUCUGCUUUUAUUAGAUUUAAGCCAAUGGGGAAUGUUUCGGCAUUCUCAAUUCAAAUGGUUGAACUCUGGAUAACUUGUUGAUCGCAUGGUCUUGUACCGGCGACGGAUCUUUCAAAUGUCUGCCCUAUCAACUAUUGAAGGUAGUGUCUUGGACUACCUUGGUUGCAACGGGUAACGGGGAAUCAGGGUUCGAUUCCGGAGAGGGAGCCUGAGAAACGGCUACCACAUCUAAGGAAGGCAGCAGGCGCGUAAAUUACCCACUCCCAGCACGGGGAGGUAGUGACGAAAAAUAACAAUACAAGACUCACAUCCGAGGCCUUGUAAUUGGAAUGAGUACACUUUAAAUCCUUUAACAAGGAUCAAUUGGAGGGCAAGUCUGGUGCCAGCAGCCGCGGUAAUUCCAGCUCCAAUAGCGUAUAUUAAAGUUGUUGCGGUUAAAACGUUCGUAGUUGAACUUGUGUUUCGCACAGGCAGUACCUACGACUAGGCAACUAGGACGGUAUCUUGUCUAAAGUUCCAAUUGGAACCCAGUGCGUGGACGUAUUAUCGGCGUGUUCGUUUUCGGACGUUCACAUAAGCUUAUUGUAGUGCUCUUUACCGAGUGUUGCGAUGAGCCGGUACAUAUUACUUUGAACAAAUUAGAGUGCUUAAAGCAGGCUUGUAAUGCCUGAAUACUUGUGCAUGGAAUAAUAAAAUAGGACAUCUGUUCUACUUUCAUUGGUUUUUUAGACCAAGAUGUAAUGAUUAAUGGAAGCAGUUGGGGGCAUUAGUAUUACAACGCGAGAGGUGAAAUUCUUAGACCGUUGUAAGACUAACUAAAGCGAAAGCAUUUGCCAAAGAUGUUUUCAUUUAAUCAAGAACGAAAGUUAGAGGUUCGAAGGCGAUCAGAUACCGCCCUAGUUCUAACCAUAAACGAUGCCAGCUAGCAAUUGGAUGUAGCUACUACUAUGGCUCUUUCAGUCGCUUCUCGGGAAACCAAAGCUUUUGGGCUCCGGGGGAAGUAUGGUUGCAAAGCUGAAACUUAAAGGAAUUGACGGAAGGACACCACCAGGAGUGGAGCCUGCGGCUUNNNNNNNNNNNNNNNNNNNNNNNNNNNNNNNNNNNNNNNUAAAUGAGUAAGACAGAUUGAUAGCUCUUUCUCGAAUCUAUGGGUGGUGGUGCAUGGCCGUUCUUAGUUCGUGGAGUGAUUUGUCUGGUUAAUUCCGAUAACGAACGAGACUCAAAUAUAUUAAAUAGAUGCAUUCAGGAUUAUGACAUUGAAACUUUGCAUAUCCUUUUGUCAGUGUGAUGGCCUCGGUUGUUGCAUUGGCAUUAUUGUGGUACGUAGGUGGAGUCAUACCUGUUUGUUUGUCUAAAUACACAAAAUAGACACUUAGCUUCUUAAAUGGACAAAUUGUGUCUAACAAUAUGAGAUUGAGCAAUAACAGGUCUGUGAUGCCCUUAGAUGUCCUGGGCUGCACGCGCGCUACAAUGAAGGUAUCAACGUGUAUUUCCUAGGCCGAGAGGUCCGGGUAAACCGCUGAACCACCUUCUUGCUUGGGAUUGUGAACUGAAACUGUUCACAUGAACCUGGAAUUCCCAGUAAGUGCGAGUCAUUAACUCGCAUUGAUUACGUCCCUGUCCUUUGUACACACCGCCCGUCGCUACUACCGAUUGAAUUGUUUAGUGAGGUCUCCGGACGUGAUCGCUGCGACGCCUUGCGUGUUGCAGUUGUUUCACAGAAGUUGACCGAACUUGGUUAUUUAGAGGAAGUAAAAGUCGUAACAAGGUUUC